GAUGAACGCCGGCGGCGUGUUAACACAUGCAAGUCGAACGAAGCACUUUGGACAGAUUCUUCGGAUGAAGUCCUUGGUGACUGAGUGGCGGACGGGUGAGUAACGCGUGGGUAACCUGCCUCAUACAGGGGGAUAACAGUUAGAAAUGGCUGCUAAUACCGCAUAAGCGCACGGUACUGCAUGGUACAGUGUGAAAAACUCCGGUGGUAUGAGAUGGACCCGCGUUGGAUUAGCUAGUUGGCAGGGUAACGGCCUACCAAGGCGACGAUCCAUAGCCGGCCUGAGAGGGUGGACGGCCACAUUGGGACUGAGACACGGCCCAGACUCCUACGGGAGGCAGCAGUGGGGAAUAUUGCACAAUGGGGGAAACCCUGAUGCAGCGACGCCGCGUGAGCGAAGAAGUAUUUCGGUAUGUAAAGCUCUAUCAGCAGGGAAGAAAAUGACGGUACCUGACUAAGAAGCCCCGGCUAACUACGUGCCAGCAGCCGCGGUAAUACGUAGGGGGCAAGCGUUAUCCGGAUUUACUGGGUGUAAAGGGAGCGUAGACGGAAUGGCAAGUCUGAUGUGAAAGGCCGGGGCUCAACCCCGGGACUGCAUUGGAAACUGUCAAU
rnacentral:rRNA from 1 species